AGGGUAGCUGGUGAUGUGUCAAAGGAGAAAUCCUGACAAAGGAUUCUGGAAAUACUCGAGGAGAAAGAGAGAAAAUCCAAAGCUAGGAAGAGGAAACGCAAGAAAGAGAGGGAAUAGUCAUCAGAGUCCAAAAAUCAAGAUGACUGACUGGUGAUGGCUCAGGAUGCAGUAGAUUUGGACAUCUUCCAUGUCUGACCAAGCUCUAAGUGCUUCCCAGCACCUGUGUCAGCUCCUUCAUAGACACUGGAACAAGCUGUCAACCGCCCCUUCAGCACCUGCUUCAGCUCCUUCAUAGCCACUGGAACAAGUUGUCAUCUACCCCUUCAGCUGAGGGAAUUCUUAGCAUGCUUGGACUAGACUCCCCCUUAACUCAUAGAUGGGUUUGAGGUUCCUUGGUUACCUUGAUCCUGGUUGGAUCCAUCUCCCAAAAUGUUUCACUAGAGUGUGGCUGCUGUACCUGCUACAGCUUCUUGGAGCCACAGGGUACUAAUUUUGAUGGAGGUGGAAAAUUCUGAGCCCCAGAAAGAACCCAAAUACAAAAGCAGGAAGGCAAAGUCAAAGGGAUGCUGUCAGUGAAAUACGAUCCCAUUCUGGAGAGACAACAAGGACAGUGGAAUCUCAGUCACCUCUUGUAGGACCAUCUGUCCUUUGGUCUGAAGAGUGAAAGGCUUAAUCAGUCAUUAGUCUUGGGCUCUAAUGGACUUGGAGAUAAGAAAUUAUUGGCAAGUGUUUGAUUUGUAGCAUUUGGAUGCGUUUGAGUGGGGGAUGAGGGAUAGAGGAAAAGGAUGCACUGUAAGAAAAGGAAAUAAAAUUCUAUAAUCUUGUCCCAACAACACUAACCUCUCUACAAUGAGAAAGAGCAUAGGAAGAACACAAUUGCUGAUCUUGAGGUAUAUUUGUAAGUUAUUGGUAGGACCUAAAGAACUCAUUUCAGCCAGUCCUGUGGUUAAUUAUCAGUCUUUGGUUUCUCCAUAUUUACCUGUUCUUUCCCUGCUCUCAACAAACAGGACCAUCAUCCUGAAAGGGCUAUUACUCGAUCCCACCAUCUCUCCUCUCAUCUUGUGCCUUUCCUUUCCUUUUUUUUUUUUUAAUAGCUACUAAAUUCCUUGAAAAAAAAAAAGUUUACACUUACUGCCUCCAACUUCCUUUCCCCUCUCUCAUCUUUAUCCAUGUGGCUUUUGACUUCAUCAAAAAUUCUCUAUAAAGUUGCCAAUGAACUCCUAAUUGCUAAAUCUAAUGAUCUCAAACUCCAUCCUUCUUGACUUCUAUGAAGCAUUUGAGACUAUCAACUUUCUCCUCCUAGAUACUAACUGCCUCUCCAGGUUUUUGUGAUGGUGUUCUCUUUCAUCAUUCUCCAUUUAUCCAUCUCUACUACUCUACAGCCUUCCAUGUAUAACAUCCAUGAUAUGCCAAUGGAUGUAUCGCCAACCUUUAUUCUGAGCCUUCUUUUCUUUUCUCCCUACAAUAUCUCAUUUUAUGGCUGUUAGCUCCCAAUUGUCAUUUCUACACAGAUGACUCUCAGACCCAUUUAUCUAGUCCAAAUCUCUCUUCUGAAUUCUAGUCCUACAUCAAAAACUACCUAUUGUACAUUUUGAACUGGAUGUCCCAUAUUCAAACUCAACAUGUCCAAAAGAGAAUUCAUUAUCUUCUCCCCAAAAAUCGAUCUCUCUUCCAAACUUUCCUACUAUUGUCAAGGGCAUAGAUAUCUUGCUAGUCACCAAUCUCAAUAACCUAAGUGUCAUUAUUGACAUCUCACCCCACAUAACUUUCUAUUUCUACAUCUAUAUGUCCUGGAUUCCUUCCUUUCUCUCCACUUACAUAGCUACUCCCCAAGUUCAAGACCUCAUUAACUCCCACCUGUACUAUUCCAAUAGCCCCUAAAUUGGUUUCACUGCUUUUAAGCUCCAUUCCAAUUCACCUUCUAUGCAAUUGCCAAAGUGAUUUUCAUAAAACACAUGUUACUCUCCUGUUGUUUGUGAGAAUGAACCCCAAAAUCUGAAAUAGUUUUAGGAAGAAAUUUAUUAGACUGUUUGGUAGAAAGAGAAUUGUAAAGAAGGGGUGGUCUCUCCUCAAGCCUUUAUGAAGUUAUAUUAUAUAGAAAAAAUUUUUCUAUAUAUUAAUGAUUCAUUGAUUAUUUAAUUGAAAAUAGAAAAGCUAUAGGAUAGAAGAAAAUAUAUGGUCCACCCAACAUGGGAGCCAAGAGACCAGUAUUUCUUCUUGUCAAGAGACAAGGAUUUCUUCAUUAUCCCAAAGCAGAAGUCCUUCAGUUCUGAAAUUGGCUAAGGAAGCUCAUCUCAGCCUUGUGUAUGCUCCAAAAGGUAGCCCCAGAGCAGCAUAUUCCCAUAUGUGCUUCCCAGUGUGUUCUCUGCUACACAAAGAUAAGACAAGGUAUGCUCUAGUAGAUAAGAAUCAAUUGUACUUCUAUUGAUUCCAAUUCCAGCAUUCUACAUAAAUGCUUUUCAGUUGUAAAGAGAAAAGUAUGACCUUUAUAAUAAAGAAGAUAAACUGUGAUCUAGUUUGAUUGAUUCAAGGGAGAGAAUUUAGGAAAAAGAGCAGAAAGGACAUUUUAGAUGGAAGGUUGGAGGAGAGCAAAAGUAGAAAUUCUAAAGAAAUAUGUAUAUAGGAGACCACUUCCAUAGAUUUAGAGGUAAAGAGACCUCAGAGAAUAUC